AUGAAGUAAAACCAAUUUAUUGCAAUGCAGCUCAUAUGUUUCUUCGACAAAAUUUUAGUUCUUUGAAGCUUGCAAUUGAAGUAUAUACAGAUACGUAUUCUGAAAAUCAAAAAUCAGGGUUAAAAGCUGCCUUAUAUUAUUUAAUUUCUAGCAGUGCAAAAAAAUGUGUCGGAAGCUUUUUGGUUUAAGAUAAUGACGAUUCAGCUAAAUCAAUCUCUGAUUUUUUAGUUCUUCUGCGACUUUGUAAAGAAGAGAUAUUUAUGGAUGCAACAUAUGAUUUGAAUGAACGCAGAAACAUUAGUUUAUGAAACCAUCAAAAUUACCAAUUGAAUCAGAUAUUCAAAUGAUACGUAAUUACUUCAUUUCUAUCAUAAAAAAGUACAAAGAGGAUAACUUUGUCCUAUGGGAUCUUCACGCCUACGUUGAACUGCGUGAUGCUGCAUGUACAAGGCUUGUUCUAUUUAUUGGUAGACGAGGCGGCGAGCCUGCCCGUCUUUUGUUACGCGAGUGGUUUGAAAGCAGCAAAGGAUGCAUGGCUAGAUGAACAACUUGCUGACGAUUUAACAGAUAUAAAUGAAACAAACAUGAAAAUAACUUACCAAAGUGGAAAAGGUUCAAAUCAUCUCGUCCCCUGUUUUAAUUCCCGAAGAUACUGUCCGUGCUAUGGAAAUUUUAUCCGAUCCAGUUGUUAGAAGCAGUGUUGGAGUUCUGGAAUCAAUGUUUACUUAUUUCCUAAUUGUCAAAGUUCAGAAAAGCAUUGUUCAGGCUGGCAUAGUUUAACUAAUGUUUGUGAUAAAUUGUCUAUAAUACACAAGUCUAGAUUAACUGGUACAACAAAUAGACAUAGAUUAAGCACGCUUAUGGCUGCAAUAAACCUUAGUGAUUUAGAAAAAAGUUUAGUUUUUAAACAUUUUGGUCAUAGCAAAAAUAUGAAUGAAAAUAUUUAUCAAGCACCAGCUGCCCACCAACAAAUUUUGUCUACAGGAAAACACUUGUUGGCUAUCGAUGCAGGUAUAAAGUAGUUUGUGUAUCAUUAGAGUACAACUAAAAAAAACUAAGAUAUAGUUUUUAAGAUCUUUAUAUACUCGAUAAUAGAGUUAAAUAUAUGAUACUUUAAAAGUAAGUUAGGUUUUUACAUUUAAAAAAUAGGUCACUUGCACUUGCGCACAAAUAACAACAAUCAAAAUUAAAAAUUUUAAGAAUAAAUGUGUAAAAAUCUUUCAUGCGAAAAUAAAUCAAGAAGACUUCGCAGUCUUGUUGGUUUAGAGUGAAUUUGUUGAACAACUUGUAAGUUCAUUUAUUGAAUUAGACUGAAAUUAUACUUUUCAAUAAUAAUUUCUUUUGCAUUAUAUAAUAUUUACUUAAUGGUAUUCUAAAAUUAUUUUCAAAAAUUUAUUUUUUAUUGAUGCAGGAAGCGUACCACAAUGAACUGGUUUUCAUACAUAAGGAUCACAAACGUAUGAAAACCAGUUCAAGUUUGAUUCAAACAGUAAAUUCUAAUGGAAGUGAACCUUAAAAUGGAGGCAAACUUGAAAGUAAGAUAACGGAUAUUUUACAUG
rnacentral:lncRNA from 1 species